rnacentral:lncRNA from 1 species
AUAUUUAAACUAUAACACUCAAAUGCAUACUACAAAACUUUAGGCCUUUGUGACCCGCAAUGUUUGUUGUUAUAGGAUAGAAAUUCGUCGCUCAAGCUACAGCAACAAAAAAAUUUUCGUUACUGCUUAGUCACUACAGUCUCAUCGCAAAAAUAUUUUAGCGGACAAAGUAAAUUAGUUGUCGCUGCUGGCUGCUACAUUUAGUGACGACAAAAGAUUUGUCACUGUAAAUAUACU